CAAAAAUUAGCUGGACUUGGUGGCAUACAACUGUAAUCUCAGCUACUCGGGAGGCUGAGGCAGGAGAAUCCCUUGAACCCAGGAGGCAGAGGUUGCAGUGAGCCAACAUCAUGCCAUUGCACUCCAGCCUGGACGACAGGGCAAGACUCCGUCUCAAAAAAAAAAAAAAAGGCAACUCCCUAUGGCCUCUGGGAGAAAAACAGAGCAAGGAAAUGUGGGUGCAGCUUGAGAAGGACUGUCCCUAGGGAGCUCACCCGCAGGAAAGUCACUCUCCUUUUGACGUUACAUCAUCAAAACUUCCCAGUAGAUUUUGUUGUGUGCUAAGCGUAUUUUGGAUUAUGCAGAGCUAUGCUACAGUAGUUUUUC
rnacentral:lncRNA from 10 species